UCGAGUAAGACUUGACAACAUUUUAAAAACAUCGUUUGAAAGCACUCCACGUAAAUUUGAACAAGGUGAAAGUUAAACAUGGGCUUAAACUACAAAGCCUAACCUAAAUUUCAAUAUAGUCGCAUUCUAGAGUUACCGGAAGAAAGUGCCACAGUGUAUACAUGUCAAGAAUUAUGAUAAAAACUCGCAAAGAAGUCAAUGAAUGAAAUCUUGUCUGAAGAAAAAUGUAAAAGUUCAUAGUUUCUUGUAACAAGCAGAUGACAAUAUGAAUAUGUUUGUUUAGAAUAUUAUGUAUUCUUUUCAUGUGUAUUAAGAACUUGUUCUACAUUAAAUAGUAACCUACUUACUUAAGACGGUAGUGUAUAUCUAAAGGAAAUUUGACUGCAAACUCCAGCAGCGCGAACGACUACUAAAAUGUAAUUAGUGGUCAUUCAGCAGUGUGCAGUUGUCAUUCAAGAUAGUUGGCAAUGAUUUCACUGAAACAAUAGACAAAUACACGUCAUAAAUUCGUCAUAUAUUAAAAUUAACUCCACCUGAAGAAAAUGAUAAUUCAGAUCAGCGCUAUAUGAGAUGGAGAGAUAUACACAAGAAUCAAGAUUUUUCAAAACUGAAAUGCCAUUUAAGACACAAAUAGGGUUACUGCCUGGUGAUAAGGGGAGAAGUAUGCCCAAAAGUUUCUGUCUGAACAGGCUUAAUCAACGCGACAAUUUUCACAAUUUAUCUCCGGUAGACAAGGGACUUAGACUUAUAUAUCAAAAGAAGGGAACGCUUUUAUGGCCUGGGUAAUUUGCAUAAUUUCAAUAAAAAUGAGUGACGGGAAAUAAUUUAGAAUGGCCAGUUAUAUAUAUUUUCAAAGAGACUAGUAUCGAAUUGUUGCGUGUCAGUUGACCUAAUAAAAGUUCUCUCAGUUGUUGAGUUA